rnacentral:rRNA from 1 species
CCUACGGGUGGCACCAGUGGGGAAUAUUGGACAAUGGGCGCAAGCCUGAUCCAGCCAUGCCGCGUGGGUGAAGAAGGCCUUCGGGUUGUAAAGCCCUUUUGUCCGGAAAGAAAAGCUUCGGGUUAAUACCCCGGGGUUCUGACGGUACCGGAAGAAUAAGCACCGGCUAACUUCGUGCCAGCAGCCGCGGUAAUACGAAGGGUGCAAGCGUUACUCGGAAUUACUGGGCGUAAAGCGUGCGUAGGUGGUUUGUUAAGUCUGAUGUGAAAGCCCUGGGCUCAACCUGGGAAUGGCAUUGGAUACUGGCGAGCUAGAGUGCGGUAGAGGGCAGUGGAAUUCCCGGUGUAGCAGUGAAAUGCGUAGAGAUCGGGAGGAACAUCUGUGGCGAAGGCGACUGCCUGGACCAGCACUGACACUGAGGCACGAAAGCGUGGGGAGCAAACAGGAUUAGAUACCCCAGUAGUC